CACUCACAAGAUGGCCUCGUGGUGUAGUUGGUUAUCACGUCAGUCUAACACACUGAAGGUCGCCAGUUCGAGUCUGGCCG
rnacentral:tRNA from 1 species